rnacentral:lncRNA from 1 species
CCGUGACGGAGCACUCCCUGGAGGCGCUGGUGCUUACCUCUCGUGGAAGCUUUCAGGGUUGGGAUCCCGGCGAGCGGCGUCAUCAGCUCCGGCACUUACCUCGACUCCCAGGUUCCCGUUCCUCCUUGCAAAAAGAGAGACUUGACUAGAGUAUCACCUGUUCAUCUUUCACCUUUUUCGUCCCAUCCUCCUAGAUGAGCAUGGUAGAAGAAAGUGACGAGAUUGCUACUAAGACAAGGCUGCUGUCACUUGAACUGUUGCAGGUUAGUUUACAUCCUGGAGGCUGCUAAUUUUGAUUCUGUUUGUUUACAUGAUAUCUGCUGAUUCUUUUACCUUCAGGGAUUGUUACACUUGCGCCCGUGCAUACAUGCUCAUGUGCCUCCAUGUGUGGCUCUCUAAUCAGAUCCAGCCACUGCCUCCCUAUACAGCAGGGGCCAAACUAUGUGCCGCCCUAGGCAUAGUCGGAUCUCUAAUCAGAUGAGCUGCCUCCACUAUUGUACGCAUGUUAAGCUGGGACGAUAAAAUUGCAUGUGGUAAGUGAUUGACCAUCUACUGAUUGAUUUUGCAGAUCUGGCAAUCUGGAUAGCUAAAUAUGUUAUAUAGUGGCCUCUAUGAUUUAGGACGUCCUCUUUUUCUGGGAAUGAUUCAGGGCAUCUGAAACAUGUGGAAAAACAUAUAUAGCAUUAGAUAAUUAAUCUCACGGUUGGUCAUAUUAUGAUGCUCAGUAAACUUAAAUAAGUUGUACGGUUAACUUUUAUGUCUUUGUCGUGCUUCCCAGAAAAGAUAAUGGUAAUAUCAAUAAUAUGCCACUAUUUAUGAAGAAAAACACUUGUAUGUACUGUAUUUGCAGCACUCAGUUGCAUGGUUCUCUUGGUUCUUUAAAAUAUAUAGGUUAACUUGAGCUAAUUUCUUAGCAUGUGUAUGAGCAUAGUUACGAGGCAUCCAAAGCAAGGAGAGGAUGGGAUGAACAGAACAAUUUCCAAAUUUGACUCGUAUUUGGUCAGGCAAGGUUAGCUUUUCUAUAGCUUUUAUUGAUGAAUUUGAAAAUUAUAUGAGAAAAAUAGGCGAAUGUAUGCUUCUUUAAUGCUUCUUUAAUCAUGCAUAUUGAUUAUAACAGUCUUAUGCUAUUUGAACCUUUUCACUAUGCUUUGUACAUAUAACUUAUACUAUGCGCAAAUAUAUUGUUUCCAUGUAAGAAAGUAUGAUAAAUAAAAAUUAAGUCAAAAAAUACAUACAAUGCCUUCUGAAUCUGAGCAAUAUCCCCACAAUUUUUUUCUGUAUGACAAAGAGACCACCAUGAUGAGUAUGUGUUCCAAUGAGCAGGUGGUGCUAGUGUAACUCAUGAAUAAGGGAACACUAUAUCAAGGCUGUGAAGAAGGCUACCAUCGAGACAAAGAGCGAGCACCCCAAGGGAUAAUGCGUGGCGUAGAAGGUUAUCAAAAGAACUAUGCCAUUUUUUAAAAUUAAUUUCCUAGACAAGUACACUCACACAUGCAUCUUUGCGACAAAAUAAAAAUUGCACUACUCUCUCUCUCUCUCUCUCAUCUAAUGUUAUCAAAAGUACUAAUUGUAGAUUUCAUCGCUAUUUUCUCCAAAAACUCUGUUUAGUAUCCCUUCCACUGUAAGUUUAUUACUAUGUGAUUAGAGAAAUUAAGAGGUAUAUGUGCAUACUGUAAGAUCAUGAUCAGUGGUGUACAGAAAUCCUAUGAAGUGAAAUACACAACGUAUUUUAUAUAUACUAUCUGUGGUUAAAUUCCAAUGUAUGUAUAUUAAGAUAUUUGUUGGAAGUGUCAUUAAUGCAAACCAUUGUGCUGUAAUACUUCACGCAGGAUAUCUAAAGGGAACUCUUUUAAAUUAUAUGGUCUUAUUCUACAACUAUGAUUAAGGGAGUAUGCAUGGGUUGAUGAAAAUGUCGCACAAUUAAUUCUAUGUUGUAUCACCCAAUGGACAGCAACUUCCUUGACUUUAUUUUGUUCUCAUCUAGUGGCAUGGUAUUCUGCCAUGUUCCCUUGUCUUUAUGUACAGUUUCGAUGUCCAGUGAAAAGACCAAAUCAUUUACUUAGUCGCUCUUGGCCUGUUCUGCUAUCAUGGUUUUACUGAUGUUCACAUUCCAAAUUAACAAUUAGUUGCUAGUGGGUGUUGUCCUUGCUGAAAUGCUCACUUUAUGGAUUCCAAAGCUUCUUUGUUUACAUGUGAGCGUUGGAGUGCUUCCAAUUAAAGGACUUGUAUUAUUAUGCAUGGCUAAUUAAUACACUUCUAUAACUAUGUAAUUUUGAUAUUUGUUGUACUGAAACUCCACUAUGACAACCGGUGCACUAAAUAACAACAACUUUGUAAUCCAUGUGCAGCUUCUAGGUUCUGGCUUUGUAGUGUGCAUCAUAUCUAGCUAAAAAAUGCAAUGAUGUGAAACUAUGUUAGAUCUUGCUGGUGUGCUGCUUGUCAACCUUGCUAUGUUGUUGUCUGCUGAAUUCUGGGUGUACAUCGACGCAAAUGAACAUGGAAACAACUUCAGAACUAUUCUUCACAUUUUUUUUUACUAAAAAUUCGAACCACUGAACAUGAUCACUUCCAUAUCUCUGAAAUGAGAAUUUACUCAAGUUUCUAUUCUGCUAGCGAUAGUUUUGUUGUCAUGUUCAUAUAAGAAAAUGUUUGCCAACUUCUUCCUGCGUGAUUUCUCUCCCCUUUUUAGAUUUAUUUCUGUGUUUGCCAACUUCUUAGUUUUACUUAUAUUCCAGUGAGCACUGGUGUAGUUAUGUUUGUAAUGUUUUUUUUUCUCCUUCUUGUGUGCUGAUUUUGCAAUGGUAAUUGGUGUCUGUACUCUGCAAGCCUCAUGAUGCUAAUUGAAAUAUCCUUUAUCAUGUUGCAGAUGCUUAGCAAAUGCUUUUGCUGCUACCUGUUCUUAAUCAGUUGCUACUUUUUCUUAAUCAUCCGAUUUCUUACUCCUUUCAUUUAUGCAGGAAUGGCAUGUAGGUAGUUAUCCCCCAUGGGCACAUAGACCAUGAUACAUUGUAUCUCAGGAUAUAGGAAACACAAAAGAGGUGUGCUAAAGGUACGCGCCCUUCUAAAAUUUCUAGAAGGGUACCCCUUUUCCUGUCUCAGUGGUAAUGAAUUCUCUUCAGUUGCUUUGGUAUGAAAUGAUGUUGAAGGCAGCUUAGAGAAAAUAUAAUGGUCUGUAGUUGGUGCGGAAUAUUUAUCGGGUAUUUUGACUUGCAGAUGUUCAAGCUGGAGAAUGUUCUCCAAUGGGAUGAAGAAUGAAGGCUUUGAUGUCAAGUGCGAGAAUGAUGAAACAAUCUUGCUGGAAAGCUGUGAGGAUGGGUAGUAGUUGCCCACUACAAGGAGCCAAGGCAGAUGAUGUUUUGCAGAAAACAAAGUGAUGAACUUUUGCUCUCAGACAAUGAACUAUCACGUUUCAUCUAUUUAAUUAGUUACAUUAGUUUAUUUAUAGGAAACUUGGCUGCUCAUUGGUUCAUAACAAAUGAACUAUUUAUAUGUGUGUGACUAUUGUUUGGUUCUGGUUUAAUAUUGUUGAAUGAUGCAUGUUAUUGUUAUGUACGAAUAUGUAACUUGAUGGACAUUCUGUUGGUAACGUGAAAUCCUGCUAUGGGAGGGCUAACAGAUGUUGGUCGGCAGAACAUACCUUGUCAGACCAGGAAAGGC